CACGCUGUAAACGAUGAAAACUAAGUAUUGCCGCGAGGCAGUGCUGUAGCUAACGCAUUAAGUUUUCCGCCUGGGGAGUACGCUCGCAAGAGUGAAACUUAAAGGAAUUGACGGGGGCCCGCACAAGCGGUGGAGCAUGUGGUUUAAUUCGAAGCAACGCGAAGAACCUUACCAGGUCUUGACAUCCCGUUGACCACUGUAGAGAUAUAGUUUCCCCUUCGGGGGCAACGGUGACAGGUGG
rnacentral:rRNA from 1 species